AUGGAUCCUGUGAACCCUUUACUGGUCAAUGCACGUUUGCCAUCUCAUGCUGCAGAUUCCCCUCUUAGGCAUGAAUUAGUGGUGGGUCCUUCUUCAAGAAGCUCAAGUGAAAGUGUGAACACUUGUCACAGUUCAGCACUGACUCUGGGAAAUCUUGAUCCAUCUAAUUUGGAUUCUUUUCAGCCUCUUUUGCAAUCCUCACAGAUUUCUGCUAACUUGCACUGUUCAGUCCAGAGGCUUAAGCAAGAAAGUGCUUUGAUGGGGAUACGGGGUUCCCUCCCUCUGGAGCCCAAGUCUUCCCCAGUCAUUGGCCAUUCAUGCUUUGCUCCUGAUGAUUUAGGUCCCAGUAUCCUGACCAUGGGAGAACAGCUAGCUGCAGUAAAAAACAAUGCUGCUCAGGCAAGAUUGAAAUGGGGUGUCCCAUUUGCUAAAGACUGGAGCCUUAGUGCAGUGACAAGGGACUUCAGUCCUGCUGAGCCUCUCUCUAUCUCUCACAGAUAUGGAUACAUUGGCUCAAACACAUGGAGAACCAAAAUUUCAGGUGGCAUCCAACCACAAACCCUUGCAUCUGGAGAGGGCUCUGGCAGGCUAGUGGAUACAGAAGCAGAUUCCUCCUUCAAUUGCUCCCCUUUCUCCAAAAGCCAGUCCCUGGUAAAGCCAUCUCUGGAAACUGGCAGUCUUUAUGUACACAGAAAAAGUCAUUCUCCUGGAAAGGUUGUCAAAGGAGAACAAACAUCUAAUGCGGCAUCUCCAUGUGUUAAGUCUUGGAAGAAAGCCAGUCUGGAUCCAGAGGGUCUGCAGGUGUUACUGGAGACUGAUUUGGCAGGGGCUCAGAUGAAUGUUGGUGUAGCCAUGUCUGGGACUCCUACAGAAGUGUGUGUGAGCAUCAGUGCUCACCCUGGAGAUAAAGAGUUUAGACCAGGCCAUAAGCUUAGUGUUAAAUCUGUACAAGUCAACAACUCUCAUGUUAAGUGCAGCAAAGAGGCAGAAGAGCUGUGUGAUUCCAGAUCACGAGCAGCCAGAAGAAUGGCUGCACUGGACCCCAGCCAGUCCAAUCCUUUGGGUACACUGGCUGAAGAAGGCUUUAAUGAACAUUCUGAUGUAGAUUGUAUGAACAUGAGCAGAGAAGGAAGGAGAAACAAAUACUCCUAUCAAAGCAGCCAGAGGAAUUUGGAAGCUGAUGGCAAUCUUGAGCAGUCUGAAGAAUGUUCUGUAGAAAGGAAUACCAGUGAACCACGGUGCUGUGAAGAAGGGAGCCAGACACAGAAGACUGUGCCCAGAGAGAUCUCAGAGAACAGCUUCUGGCCAUUGAAGGUGAAUAAGCAAAGUUUCUGUAACUUGUGCAACAAACAAAUCCUAACAAGGUGUUUCCAAGCCUGGAGGAGACAUAUCCUUUGGAAGAGGGCAGCCAGGCAGCUUUACAGACGCCAGCUGCUUCAGAAGGGCUUUGGUGCUCUGCAGUGGACUUUGCACCAAAGGAGGACACAACUGGAGGUGGCCCAGCAGAGACAUGCUUCAACUCUGGUAGCUGCCAGCUUCCAGAGGGUGAGCACUGGCUAGGGACAGUGGUGCCAUGACCUUUCUGCUGUGCAGGCAGAGAAGGCACAAAUCCUGUUUGGAUAGGGAGGAGGAGGGGGUACCCUGUGUGAAAUUCCAUGAUGCAGACCCUGGUACCAAUACUCUGUCUGCUGUUUGUUCUAAUCAUGUGGUUUCUUCUUCAGUGGAAGGAAGCUGUGGCAAAACAGAGCAAGAAAGAAGCUCUGCAGCCUGAGCCUUACUCCUAUACCCAAAGUUCAUCAGCAGGGAUAUUUGGAAUAGGAAGAUUAGCAACUAUGACAACCUCAGCUCAGCAUCAGCUUGCAACAGGAUACUCAAAGGAAGUGGAGCAGGCUUGUAGGUAAGCUCUUUCUGUUAUCUUGGACAAAGGGAGGUUUACAAACACAGGGAAAUCUUUUUCUCAAAUGAUGGCAGACUUGUUUCCAUGGCC
rnacentral:lncRNA from 1 species